rnacentral:misc_RNA from 1 species
UCUUCGUUUCGCAAGCAGCCGUCGCCCAAGGCGAAGCUUGCCAUUACCAUUUCGUGGGCCCACAACCCCCUCCGCCCCCCAGCCAUCUCUGUACCCUCUUGUGCUACCUUCACUCACUCUUUCUAUUAUUGCUUCGCCCUCUCUGCUGCUGCUGACGUCACGCUAAACGACGACACCAAUCAUAGGCACACGCGGAUACACGCCAAGCGUACUCACCAUCGUGCUGUAGCCUUCCAUAAACAGGAGUCGUGUGUCUUUCUGUGUGCUUCGGGGAUCAUUGCGUGGUGUUGCUGCGCAUUCUCCUCCCUCCUCCUCCUCCUCCUGCCACACUUGCUCAUUCCCUCGCACACCUUUUUCCCCUGUCGCUCUGCUUGCCACGCGACUCCAUUUUUGUUUUGUAUUUUUAAGAUAUACGCAUAUCUUCGAACUUCUCUGUGGCCGUGCUGACAUCGCUUCUCUUGCGUGCUCCGUCCCCAUCCUCCCUCUUUCCUCUUUCCGGUCUACACCUAUUGGGCAAUCACAGUCAUCUUCGGCUUCGCUAGCUGUUUGCGGUGCACCGGAGAGUCUGACUUUCUUCACGCGGACUUGCCCCCGCCUGCGGCAACGUCGUCGACGCAUUCGCCCUUCCCUCCGGUCUUGUUUCUUCAAAGGUGGCGUCGCGUACCAGCACUCCUCUUCGUCCGCACGACGCCCGCACUGCCAGUGCGGACACCCACCUGCCUCAUCACAUCGCCAAUGUAAACACGUUAGCCGGUCAGCCAUACAGAAAGGCUGCGCCGUCGCUUGCACCGGUGCAACUUGCUCCUCCGUUGUCGGCUCCUACCCUGCAUGAUGGCGCAUUGGCAGGACAGGUCCUGAGUGCAGCCGAGGGCAGGAAAGCACUUGACGGCAUCGUCCGCAGCGGCUCUCAUGCCCAACCUCCACAACCCGCUUCGCCUUCCUCCGCUUGCAUGAUCUCGAAGGGCGGCAACAGCGGUUUAGGUAGCGGCAGCGGGGUGAAGCCGCGCUUGGUGGCAAAGGUGUCGGGUGUGCAGCGGGCAACUGCGUUCCUCAGCGCCAUCGACCCGACAGAGCUGCAUCCCCACCCUCUGCGCGGUGCCGCUCGAUCCAUCACCAAGGACGGCAGCGGCGGCAGCUCCAGCUCCAAUCCCGACAGCCUUGGCGGCAGUUUCAACAACGCCGAGACGGAGGAGGAAAGAGCAGUGCUGGAUGGAAUGUCGCGUGCGCUGGGCACCGGUGCCGAUGGGUGCGAUACUCUGCGCAAUUUCACGAUACGCGUUCCGAGCUCCAGUGCUUUUGAAGCGCCCGCUAACACGCACGUCGGCGGCCUUGCUAGCGCCGCCACACAAAGUACGUCUGCACCAGCGGUCGCUAACACCACAAGCAGCAGCGAUCCCGACGCCAUAGUGGCUACAGAUGCCGUUGCCUCCGAUCACCCUCAUUUCUCUAGCACAAUCCGUCGUGCGCCAGUCGGCAAGGCUGUCUCUCAGCUCACGCCGCAGCAGUUCCAGCACCGACGCCGCCAACCCUUCGCCGCCGACUUUUCUCUUCGAUACCGGCGGCAGGAGAACUUCCUCAAGUCGCUCGGCACUAGCAUGAAGCCUACCAAGCGGCAUCGUCGUCACAACAGCAGCAGCAGCAGCAGCAGCUCCUCUUCCUCCAGCCGCAGCCGCAGUGAGAUUCAGCGCAGUGCGGCCUCGCCGAUGAACACCAGUGGCGCUACUGCGGCCGGCGGCCUUGGCACGGGUGCUAGUGGCGCUAGGCAGGAUGCCGGGGCAUCCGCUGCGAACGGUGGCCUCACCACCGCUGGUGGUGACAUUUCCGGCACCACGUUAAACGGUGGUGUCACCGGCGCUGGCGGGGAGUCGAAUCUGCUGCCGUCGCAGGGGCACCGGCACCGCAUCAGCUGCAAUAGCGGGGGCAAGCCGCCACUGCAGGUCCACGAGCUUGUGAAAAGGGAGGGCCAGCGGGUGCGGCUGCGGUGGAUCUACGGUGAUGUUCAGCAGCGCCGCUCGUCCUCGUCGUCGUCUUCGUCCUCUUCGAGCAGCCGCUCUUCUGGAUCGCGGCAGAGCCGCGGGAAGCGGAGCCCCAAGUGCGGCCCAGGCGGCGGCGACGGGGUCGCUGUGGGAAAAGGGUCACUGCCCGCAUAUGGCAGAGGUUCGGUUCCUGGCGCCCUCGAGACGGAGUGGAGUGGAACACCGCAGCACCUGUCCAGCACGAGUCACACUCUCGUGCGGUCUUUGUCUUUGUCCUCCUCUUCGUCGUCGUCCUCUGACGAUAGCUCGCGUCGUCGCCGCACGCGAAGCAAGAAGCGGUGGCAACGGCAGUGGUGGGCGCAGUCGGCUGCCACGCCGAUGUCGCUCUGCACCAUCUUGACAAAGUUCGAACCACGCGUGACGUCGCUGUGGAAGGAGGACCAAGUGAUUCAGCCGUACCGCGGGGAGUCCAACGCGAGUAGCAGCAGGUCCAGCUCAUCCUCCAAAAAGCGCUCGUCCUCGUCCUCGUCCUCGUCCUCGUCUUCGUCGUCCUUCCUUUCGCACUCACGGGACCUCAACGACGCCGAUGGCGAGUAUCAAGAUUUUGUGGUGAACGGCCAAUACCUCGCUGGUAAUUACGCGGACCGCCGGCACGUGGCCGAGAUGACGAGCGUGGUCGUUAGCUCUAGCUCUUCAGACUCGGGCCUCAGAACGCACUCGUUGUACUCGUCAUCCUCCUCAAAGACGCGCUCCGACGGCAGCACCCACAGCCGUCGUGGCAGCAGCAACCGUACCCAAAGCCACUCCUCCUCUUCUUACGGCAGCAGCCGCGGCUCCAGUCGACACAGCCGCGGCAGCAGUCGGAGCAGUCGCAGCAGCUCACGCAGCUCCUCCAACGCGCGCCACCGCCGCCGCCAUCACAACCGCGGCAGAGGAGGCAUCAUCAGCGGCGAGGGCGAUAUUCGAAGCUACCGUAAGGUCCUCGCGCGGCAACAGUGCCGCAACAACCCUGCCUUCUCGAACGCGUACUUCCUCGACACGGGCAACAUCACCGGUGGCGAGCGCCGCCGCAAGAUGAUCUCUCUCCCCUCCUACCGCGUCUCGAUGAUCUCAUUUGUGGACAAGAAGAUCCUCAAGAAGGACCUCAACCACAACUUCUAUAUUCAGCACCCCGAGCUCGAGGUUCGUGAUAUCAAACUGACGCACCUCCGCAAGAUCAAGCACGAGUUGCUGGUCUACGCGCUAGAGGACAACUCCCUGUUGGACCUGACCACCACGGCGUAUGCGUACUGGUACUUUGAGCGACUCGUGGUGCAGGGCAUGGUGGGCAAGCACAACCGCAAGGAGAUCAUGGCGGCAUGCGUACUGCUCGCCAUCAAGUUCCUGGAAACGGGCGAUCUCAUGAAGAAGAUUGCCUACUUCAAGAACCGGUGGCGCCGCUUUCACAACGUGUCUGGCGUGCACGUCGGAAAUGUCAACGCGAUGCUCGGCGGCGGCGGCGCUAAGGGGGUGGAGGAGGAUGACGAGGAGGUGGUGCACGUGAAUUGGAAGAAGGUGGAGGAGCAGGAGUUCCCGGUGUACGUCGGGCUCGACUUUACACUGCUGCCCGACGGAGACGGGCAGGUGAUCAAGACGCACAUUGAACGCCUGCUGCAGCUCAUCAAUGUGACCUCACAGGAGUACUAUAGCAAGAAGUUCGUUUCACCUGCGUACUUGAACCACUACAACUGCUACAGCAACCUCUACUACUAGUACACGCUUGAUGUGUGCCUUGCAGGAGCGCCUCUUCGUACCAGUUGUUGGUCGUCAUGUAAUGAUGAGUGUGUGUGCCUGUGUUGCGUGGCUGUGGUGUUGCAUACAUUAAGAAGCGGAAUAUGCCUCCUACUCCCCCUUUUUUUUGCUCCCCCUCUCUGCCUCUCUCUGUACAUAUAUAUAUAUAUAUAUACAUAUGCAUGCAUGUGUGUCUGGGACUGUGUGUGUGUGGCGACGUAUGGAUAUGUGCAUCCUUCGUUUCUCUUUUGUUUGUGUAUUGCUCGAGUGGGAAGGUGGCGUCUGACCAUGCCGCUCGCGCACGAUCUUCCUGCAUUCCUGCACCUCCCCGCUCUCCACCCAAAAGCCUCCUUCUCUCUGCCUUGCCUCUCCGCAUUUUGGACGCUUCUCUCAUCUUUUUCGGGUUGGCAUUGCGGAAGGCUUUUGCGUCUCUUUCCCCCCUUCGCCUGUGUGCUGCUUCCGUGUGCUGCGGUUGCGGCAUGCAUCCACGCAACGCACUCCCUCACAUGCGCACACAGGCGAAGGGGGGGAGGGGGCGGGGUAGGGGGCGCCAGCGAUUUUUGUGAUAAGCGCUACAGAGGGAGAUGGUUGACGACGCGAACGCCGGUGCUUCUGUUGCGGCCGUGAGUGACAUCGAAGCCUGUUCUGUGUUUUGUCCGCGCCCCCUUCGCUCUGUCCGCCCCGCGACAUUCUUGAGGAAAGGGUUGGGAAGAAGCUGGCAAAGGUGAUUGCCCAUAAUGAAGUAGGUGAACGAUAGACAGGCAAACAACAACCCAUGCCAUCGCGAUGGCGCUUCUCCUUAGGCUU